GACGAACGCUGGCGGCGUGCUUAACACAUGCAAGUCGAACGAGACGAUUGGAAGCUUGCUUUUAAAAGUCGAGUGGCAAACGGGUGAGUAACGCGUAGACAACCUGCCUUUGAGAUGGGGACAACAGUUCGAAAGGACUGCUAAUACCGAAUGUUGUAUAUUUUCCACAUGGAAGAUAUAUUAAAGAUGGCCUCUAUUUAUAAGCUAUCGCUCAAAGAUGGGUCUGCGUCUGAUUAGCUGGUUGGUGGGGUAACGGCCUACCAAGGCGACGAUCAGUAGCCGGUCUGAGAGGAGGAACGGCCACAUUGGGACUGGGACACGGCCCAGACUCCUACGGGAGGCAGCAGUGGGGAAUCUUCCACAAUGGACGAAAGUCUGAUGGAGCAACGCCGCGUGAGUGAAGAAGGGUUUCGGCUCGUAAAGCUCUGUUGUCGGGGACGAAUGUGCAGUAUUUGAAUAAAGUACUGUAAUGACGGUACCUGACGAGGAAGCCACGGCUAACUACGUGCCAGCAGCCGCGGUAA
rnacentral:rRNA from 1 species